rnacentral:rRNA from 1 species
UACAGAGGUCUCAAGCGUUGUUCGGAUUCAUUGGGCGUAAAGGGCGCGUAGGCGGCCAUCUAAGUCAGACGUGAAAUCCCCCGGCUUAACCUGGGAACUGCGUCUGAUACUGGACGGCUUGAGUAUGGGAGAGGGAUGUAGAAUUCCAGGUGUAGCGGUGAAAUGCGUAGAUAUCUGGAGGAAUACCGGUGGCGAAGGCGGCAUCCUGGACCAUUACUGACGCUGAUGCGCGAAAGCUAGGGGAGCAAACGGG